rnacentral:rRNA from 1 species
UACGGAGGGGACUAGCGUUGUUCGGAAUUACUGGGCGUAAAGCGCACGUAGGCGGAUUUGUAAGUUAGGGGUGAAAUCCCGGGGCUCAACCUCGGAACUGCCUUUGAUACUGCAAAUCUCGAGUCCGGAAGAGGUGAGUGGAAUUCCGAGUGUAGAGGUGAAAUUCGUAGAUAUUCGGAGGAACACCAGUGGCGAAGGCGGCUCACUGGACCGGCAUUGACGCUGAGGUGCGAAAGCGUGGGGAGCAAACAGG